rnacentral:rRNA from 1 species
GACAGCAGUAGCCGCGGGAAUACGUAGGUGGCAAGCGUUGUCCGGAAUUAUUGGGCGUAAAGGGCUCGCAGGCGGUUUCUUAAGUCUGAUGAGAAAGCCCCCGGCUCAACCGGGGAGGGUCAUUGGAAAUUGGGAAACUUGAGUGCAGAAGAGGAGAGUGGAAUUCCACGCGUAGCGGUGAAAUGCGUAGAGAUGUGGAGGAACACCAGUGGCGAAGGCGACUCUCUGGUCUGUAACUGACGCUGAGGAGCGAAAGCGUGGGGAGCGAACAGGAUUAGAUACCCCGGUAGUCCCUGUCUCUUAUAU